UUACUAGCAUCAAACCAAAAUGGCAUACCAUUAAAUAAAUUUACAAAACAUCAAUACAUGUUCAAUGAUAUAUUUAUACAAAGCCAUUAAAUGUAAAUAUGAUUUGUUCGUACACAUUCAAUGAAACAUCUCAUAUCGAACUCAUAGACACAGUUAUUGCUCCACCACAUAAGGUAUUUGACACACUUAUUUGUACACAUCAAAACCACCCUUGAAGCACCCCAAAGGAGGAUCAGCACCAUCCAGGGCAUGAUGCUUGACCUGAACAAAUGAAGGGCAAUUGGAAUCAAAUCUCCAUGCAAAUAAGGAUGAACAAAUAGCCCAAAAACAUAAUUGAACAUAUUAAUUUCACAAGCAGAAUACAUUCAUAUUUCAAUGUUAAGUCCUGCAUCAGAUCUCCUUGUCACAGUUAAAAUACUGAUUCAAGUAUAAAGUAAGCGAAAGCCAAUUAGAAUUAUCAGUUUUGACAAAUACCCACAUCUCAAACAAGAUAACAGAGACUUAAUUUUGCCCUGAACUAGGAGCAGAUCCUCAAAAACGUGAUCAUAGCAUAGCUGCCUCGGUUUAAAAAAAAAAUAGAUUUUGCUGCUAACAGGCCACAGUCUAUCUCAAAGAUUUAGUUAGCAUUGCUCAAAUCUAAGCACACAUUGGUGCAUGCCUAGUGACAUCAGAUCAAAACAGCUCAAAUAUUUGGUCAAUCAAAUGGAAUAACUUAUUAUUGGACUGCAAGGUCAUAGCAUUGCUUACUCUAGAUAAUGGUGUCAUUGUAGUAUGCUAUAAAUAAAUUAGCUAAAAAAAGUGCUGAUACCAAUCUUUGUGACAAAAAUAAAUAAACCUACUUACACUUAUACAAUUUGCAGACUGGGUGGAACAAGUCAGUCCACCAUCAAUCACCAAUAGUAAAAAUAAUAAGAUAUCAACACUAUCAAUCUUGUGGUCAAAAAGGUUAUCUGCUUGAUACAAUCCUGAGCAGAUUUCCCUUGGCCUUCAACCUGACAACCUGUAACUGGUUCAGAGAAUUAAUUUAUUAUUUGCCUUACAUGUAAACUUGAUUAUAGUAAAAAGGAUUGACCAGUGUCGCAUUGUUAGAAGAAUCCACUAUAAGAUAGGACAGAUAAUGACUGAGUAGUUAUUGCUAGUGCAAAGAUGGAGGGGGCAGCAGGAUUAACCGUCUACCGAUAGAGAGGUCUUGUGGAAUAGAUGGCUGCUACCUCUUAUGGAGUAGAUUGAAACAUAAGGGGAUAAAACAUCAAGUACCACACAAUGCUACAGAUAUAUCCAAGCACAUCUUUGAAUAACAAUUUUUAUAAUAAAGAAGAAUUAGUGGAAUUCCUAAUAGGAUAAAGUAGAGCAUUAUCUACUUUAAUCAUAUCAGCAUAUCAUACCUGCAACUUUGUUUAAUGCAAGUGUUCAUUGUCGCUAGUCCAUCUGGCCAAACAGAGCAAAUAAAAAUGUAGGGAUCAAACUGCAAACUAAUUAGCUUUCAAUUUGAGAUCCAAUUUUACUUCGAACCACUUACCACUUCUACACGAUGGGCAUCGGAGAUGGAAAGGUCCUGCAGGGCUGUUGUGUCCAGUGAAUGCCUUCAUAUUGACUAAAAAUUGGUUAGCAAUAUAUUGUUUACAAAAUUGGUUAGCCUAGUGCGACGGAAAAACUGGUUAGCAAUAGACCUUCAUAUUAACUAAAAUUGGAGAGUAAUAUUAUCAUGAUAGCAACAGACCUAAAUAGGAGAAUAAAUGAAAAUAGAAAUAUGAAAUCACACAUAUAUAAUAAUGAAUUAAAUGAAAACACUUACAUGAGCAUAGCAAGUCUAUCUUGCAGCCAAAACACUGAUGGAUACAAAUUGACAGCCUAUAUAACACUUCAAAUCCAGCCGGGUGUAGCAAAAUAAGGUAAGACACGAGUGAGCGUGUUGCCUUAGAAAUUGAGGAGGCCGGAAUGCAGUUGGGGGGAAAUUGAGAGUAAGAGAGAUAGGACUCAGAUUGCGUCCAGCCUGGCAGCGUUAAGCAUCAUCGUUUCUUGCUCCUGGGUUAAGCCAAAUGGAGGAAGUGCGUCCAAUCGGUGGCACACGGAUGGGGGAGCUAAGCGCGACCUACCGCAGGAGGAGCAGGAUCCGUCCCCAUGGAUGCCAUUGGGUGGCUCCGCUGUGGCGCGUUCCAUGUGAGGGGAGACCACCAUGGAUGUGACCUGCUGCCCCUGCCAUCGUCAGAUGGUGGGUAAGGAGGCGCCACUUCCCCAUGCUGCUUGAUAUUGGAGCCGCCGCCACUGCCAUCGGGUUGUGGAAGAGGAGGUGUCGCCGUCGGGUGAAGCGAUGGAGAGGUAGGAGGUGCGCCUCUGGUGGUGAAGCAGAUGAUGUUGGCGCUCGCUGAGUGGAGGAGCUCUCUUGAGGGCCGGACAAGGGAGGAGGAAAGCGGGAUCGGCCGGCGUGUUUGGGGAGCUGCCGCUGCACUAGUCUAGUCUAGGGUUCGAGGCAGUUCGGUGGAUGAGAACGAGGGUGCCAGCUGGUGGGAUGCUAC
rnacentral:lncRNA from 1 species